GCAGAUGGAGCAGGACAUGAAGAAUAUCACCAGAUUUCAGGAUUUGGUGGACAAACUGUAGUUCAAAGUGAAGUCAUACAAGAAACAGCCUGAUGAGGCUGAGGAGCAGACCAACACUCACCUGUCCAGACACAGGAAGGAUCAGCACGAGCCAGAAGACACUGAGGACAGAGCCGACAUCGCUGAGUCCCAGGUCAACAAACUGAGGGCUGAGAGUUGUGAUAUUGUGCAGGUUAGUUCAUUUCACUUGUUUUUUAUUCAGCAGUUAUUACAUUGUAAUAACAUUUAUAAGAAUAGUACAACCAAACAUGUACACAUAACUCACUUCUCAUUGUUUUUGUUUUGUUUUUUGUUUGUAUCAAUUUAAAGGGAAAGGAAGCUGAAGAAUGAGCACUGUUACAGAUAAGACACACUGUCAAGAAGUCACACAAUAUGAACUUUUUGUCUGAUAUGUUAACUGUUCACACAC